CAUCGAGACUCCUACGGGAGGCAGCAGUGGGGGAAUAUUGCACAAUGGGCGCAAGCCUGAUGCAGCCAUGCCGCGUGUAUGAAGAAGGCCUUCGGGUUGUAAAGUACUUUCAGCAGUGAGGAAGGCGGCGUCGUUAAUAGCGGCGUUGUUCGACGUUAGCGACAGAAGAAGCACCGGCUAACUCCGUGCCAGCAGCCGCGGUAAUACGGAGGGUGCGAGCGUUAAUCGGAAUUACUGGGCGUAAAGCGCAUGCAGGUGGUUUGUUAAGUCAGAUGUGAAAGCCCCGGGGCUCAACCUCGGAAUUGCAUUUGAAACUGGCAGACUAGAGUACUGUAGAGGGGGUAGAAUUUCAGGUGUAGCGGUGAAAUGCGUAGAGAUCUGAAGGAAUACCGGUGGCGAAGGCGGCCCCCUGGACAGAUACUGACACUCAGAUGCGAAAGCGUGGGGAGCAAACAGGAUUAGAUACCCUGGUAG
rnacentral:rRNA from 1 species